GCUCACCCUCUGGGAGGAAAGGAAGCGAGGAUCGCGCGGCCGGAGAGCGAGGAGACGCUUGGAGUCCAGGGCUCGGGCCGCCCACACCUCCUCCUGUGGCGGACACGGCACAGCGGACGGCGCACCGGCCGCAUCCGCGACCCUGCGCGCAGGGAGCAGGAGGAGAAUGGCUCAAGGAGACUUGAUUUUCUUGGAUUUGCUGCAAUUCCUUAAACCGAACCAGGCUUUCGGGGCGUUAAAGGAAAUUACCGUCUACAGGUGGCAGUGUGGAAGCCAAAACGGGAGCUUCCAGAAGUGGUUUCUGAAAAAUAAGAGUGAAUAUGCACGAGGGAGCUCGGACAGGAAUCACAAAAACCGCAGGGUCUUCCUCUGAGCCAACGGAGGAGGCAGAUUGGGGAGGCCUGAUGUGGACGGUGGCGGGCCUCCUUGUCCUUCCAGAAACCGUAAUGGCAGCCGUGUCCUGUCUUCCAGAGGUAUGAGCUGUGAAGAUGAGCCUUUCCUUGACUAUUCUUGGGUAAGGGUGAGGGAGGAGCAACAGAGGGUGGGAGCCCCUCUUUUCCUUCUCCCUGCAGGAGUGAGUGAUCUCCAUUCUGUCCCGGAAAAUGGCCGCCCCCACCCCCGGCCCACCCUAAGGCGGGCCUUGCCAGGCUCUGCGGCUGUUUUUCCUCCCAGGAAAGCCCAGCAGGGUGCCGUGGGGUGGGUGAGGGCAGGAGGAUUGCCCGUGGCCGUGCCCAACAGCUUGAAGGAGAGACCUGAGGUGUCUGGGGGAAAUGCCUGUGUGCUUGGAAUGUGACU